UCGGCCAACAGGAGGUGGAGCCGAACGGCUUCUCUCCAUUGGCCGCGCGGUUGUUUUGUUUGUACAGUGUUGAUUUAUAUUUAUUCGAAAAUAGCCGAGUUCCUAGGGGCCUCCAGAUCGCAGCGGGAGGACCGGCGGCUUCUGGACAGCCCGGAGAACAAGUGACAUUGACCCAGCCACGUGACGAUCUCAGGAGACAUGACCAAGAAAAGAAUUGCUGUGAUUGGAGGUGGAAUGAGCGGACUCACUUCCAUCAAGUGCUGCCUGGAAGAAGGCUUGGAACCUGUCUGCUUCGAAAGGACUGAUGACAUCGGAGGGCUCUGGAGGUUCCAGGAAAAUCCCGAAGAAGGAAGGGCCAGUAUUUACAAAUCAGUGAUCAUCAAUACUUCUAAGGAGAUGAUGUGCUUCAGUGACUAUCCCAUCCCAGAUCAUUACCCUAACUUCAUGCACAACUCCCAGGUCCUGGAGUAUUUCAGGAUGUAUGCCAAAGAAUUUGACCUUCUAAAAUAUAUUCAAUUUAAGACCACUGUGUGCAGUGUGAAGAAGCAGCCCGAUUUUUCUACUUCAGGACAAUGGGAGGUGGUCACUGAGUCUGAAGGGAAAAAGAAGAGGGAUGUCUUUGAUGGAGUCAUGGUUUGCACUGGCCAUCACACCAAUGCUCACUUACCCUUAGAAAGUUUCCCUGGAAUUGAAAAGUUCAAAGGACAGUACUUCCACAGUCGAGACUAUAAAAACCCAGAGGGAUUCACUGGAAAGAGAGUCAUCGUCAUUGGCAUUGGGAAUUCUGGAGGGGAUCUGGCUGUGGAGAUCAGCCACACAGCCAAGCAGGUUUUUCUCAGCACCAGGAGAGGGGCUUGGAUCCUGAAUCGUGUAGCAGACCAUGGAUAUCCUUUUGAUGUGAUGUUCUAUUCUCGACUUAAAUAUUUUGUGACAAAGAUUUGUAGUCAAUCAGUUCUAAACACAUAUUUGGAAAGAAAGUUGAACCAAAGAUUUGACCACGAAAUGUUUGGCCUGAAACCUAAACACAGAGCUCUGAGUCAGCAUCCAACAGUAAAUGAUGACCUGCCAAAUCGUAUAAUUUCUGGCUUGGUGAAGGUGAAAGGAAAUGUGAAAGAAUUCACGGAGACAGGUGCCAUAUUUGAGGAUGGCUCCCACGAGGAUGACAUUGAUGCUGUUAUCUUUGCCACAGGCUAUAGCUUUGCCUUUCCUUUUCUUGAAGAUUCUGUCAAAGUGGUCAAGAAUAAGAUCUCCCUCUAUAAAAAGGUCUUCCCCCCUAACCUGGAAAGGCCAACUCUUGCCUUUAUAGGCUUGAUUCAGCCCUUAGGAGCCAUUAUGCCCAUUUCAGAGCUCCAAGGACGCUGGGUCGCUCAAGUAUUUAAAGGGCUAAAGACAUUGCCUUCACAAAGUGAAAUGAUGGCAGAAAUAUCUAAGGCUCAAGAGGAAAUAGAAAAACGGAACCCUCCUCACCUACCCAAGGACGUCCCAGAGCGCAUUGUUUCCACCCAAGGCCGGGUCAGGGGCCAGGAAGAAAGCAGCGCCGAGGCCCCAGGAGGCCGCCGCCCAGAGUCUCCCCGCCGGGCGCUCCCCGGGCCCCCGCCCUCCCGCGCGCCUCGGGCUCCCCCGCCCGGCGCCGGCGGCUGCGCACCAUCGAGGCGGCGGCUAGAGAGGCCGGCGGGAGCGGGCGGCCGGCGCGGGCCUUGUAGCCAUCUUAGGAGGAACAGGGAUCGCCCGCCCGGGGUGCGGCUUCAAUUUCUACAACUUUAUUGGAGGCUCGAUCCUCAGGACAGCCGUAGAGCCGGUGGCCUGAGGAGGAGGGAGCGCAUCGCCGGAGGUGGCCCCGGACGCGAGCUGCAGUCAUGGGAAACACCACCAGCGACCGGGUGUCCGGAGAGCGCCACGGCGCCAAGGCUGCGCGCGCUGAGGGCGCGGGCGGCCACGGCCCGGGCAAGGAGCACAAGAUCAUGGUGGGGAGCACGGACGACCCCAGCGUCUUCAGCCUGCCGGACUCCAAGCCAUAAUGACUUUGUUGCCAUACUGGACCUCCCUGAGGGAGAGCACCAAUACAAAUUCUUUGUGGAUGGACAGUGGGUUCAUGAUCCAUCAGAGCCUGUGGUUACCAGUCAGCUUGGCACAAUUAACAAUUUGAUCCAUGUCAAGAAAUCUGAUUUUGAGGUGUUUGAUGCCUUAAAGCUAGACUCUAUGGAAAGCUCUGAGACAUCUUGUAGAGACCUUUCCAGCUCACCUCCAGGGCCUUAUGGUCAAGAAAUGUAUGUGUUUCGAUCUGAGGAGAGAUUCAAGUCCCCACCAAUCCUUCCUCCUCACCUACUCCAAGUUAUUCUUAACAAGGACACUAAUAUUUCUUGUGACCCAGCCUUACUCCCCGAGCCCAACCACGUUAUGCUGAACCAUCUCUAUGCAUUGUCCAUUAAGUAUUAUCUUUAACCCCUGUUUUAUAGAUAAAGAAACUAAGGCUCAGAGAAGGUCAAAUUGCCAGACAGUGUGAUGGUUCUUAGCGCAACCCAUCGCUACAAGAAGAAAUAUGUCACCACUCUGUUGUACAAGCCCAUCUGAAGGAAUCCCUUCUUAGCUCCAAGGAUUGAAGAAAAGCAUCUCCCUUGCCUUUCUGGACUGAACCAGUCUUCUUGAGACUGGAAGGCUGAUUUGCUUUGAGGCUAAAAUGUGUGUUUCAGAGCCUCCGAGUAGGAAGCUCUGCUUUUGCAUUUGAUUGCAGAUGAGAGCUUUAUGAGUUCAUGGAAUUUAUUUUAAGAAAAAAAUAUAUAUACACAUAGGAGAGGAAGGUAAAUGGAAGCUUCCCAGCCCCAGCUAGAUAUAUUCUGUCUGCCUGUGGCUAUUCACCAAGACCCGUUUGGAGGAGCUGCAGGAAUAGAUAUACAGGAAGCAUUUUUCCUAAAAUGAAGGAACAACACAGUCUUAGGAUCCUUGUUGGGCAGAGAUUCUAUCAUUGUUCCCUUGGCUGUCAAGGGAUGGACUUGUGUCAGACUGCUACCCUACUUCCAGCUGCCUCACCAUGUGGGCGGCUUUUCUUGCAUGGGUUCUCUGUCUUUCUCCAUAGCACAAUCUGUGUUUUUUUUUGUAUGAUACUAGAUGCCCCACAAGAAUGCUUUUUUCUAUCAUUUCACAUUCUUCCUUGAAUAGCCGCCUUCAGAUCAUAUAUUUGACCCUUCUCUAACAUAAAACUAAUUGGGUAAGUGACCCCUUUGAAAAGUUACAUGGGACCUGACCCACCUAAGAGACUAGGACUGCCAGGAGAUUUCUUUUUUGGCCCAGCACAGGCCAAAGCCACUUUGUUACUGCUCAUUUUAACUUUUGCUAAAAAAAAUAUGUCUCAGCAUUAUUAAAAAGGCAGAUGCUGAAGAUCUACUUUUUUGUUUGAGUGUGGUACCGAGGCUUGGGCUAUAUUGAUAGGCUUUCCUACUUGGCCUGGCCCUGCUUCCGUCUUUUCUCUCUCAGAGAUGACAGCUCUGAAGAUAACAGUGGAACCAGGGAAAACGUUCAUGUCUUGCAUCAGUGAAAGACUUUUAUGUACCUGCAUUUUUCUUUAAUUAAAAUAAAAUGCCUUUCCAUGGGUCUUCUCUAGUUUAGCCCUCAACCUUACAUUAUCAUGGCCAACACCACGCUUGCUGUUAACACUACACACUGCUCUAGUACAAGCUCGUUUGACUCAUUUGAUGUACCUAAAGGGUUCCCUUAAGUUAAAAAUUUAUUAAGCCAAGAAGCAAGCAAGUAUUCUUGGUUUAUCCAACCCUGAAAAUAAUCAUUCUUUUCCCUAAAUGUUAGCAAGAUAGUUUUGUUUUCCUGCCUCUACUUUUAAAAAAUAUUUGAUGAUGAAGUAGGGUCACUGAUUUCAAUUUUGGACUGAAAAGUAGCUAUUCAAUCCACUUCUGGGGUUUAGAGAUAAAACAUUUUUUUUCCAAGUAUCUGUGGAUCUUCCAUUUUAUAGAUACCAAGUCAAACAUUGAACACUGAAAGAGGCCAAACUGUUGAUGAUUGAGAAACUCUCUGACUGCUGAGUCCAGUCCACACGGAAAGGACACCUACAGGUCAGUUUAGCUACCUCCAGUCUUUCCCAAGCAAAGCUGGCAACUCAGUUGUCUUUGGGUAUGUAGACUUCUUAGAUGUCACUUAUGAGGCAGUAAGGUGUGGGGUCAUUGUUUUGCUGGAAUGCAAAUUACUAAGUGCUUGGGUGGUUAAUUGAUAUACAAGGCCACUUUCUGCAGCAAAGGUAUCUGUGGAGAACUUUUUAUGGUCCCAACUACUUUUUAAAUGAUGUGCCAUUAAAAAAGAUCCCAGGCCAGAUCCUAUUUUAACUAAAUCUCGGGAUUAAUUUAGUCUUUGGUUGUAGUAGAAUUUGUUUUUAUCCAGUACCCAUAAAAUAAGUGGCCAUUUAAAAGAAUCCAAAAUCUUGGUUGUUACAUGGAGAAUUUUGUUGUACUUGUAUUUUUGGCCAGCAGUAUUAAAAGGUAAUUACUUCAUGUAGGUCUAUAAGUAGGGUGGGGCAGGAAGAGUGAUCUCUUCAGUUUCCUUCAGGUCAGAGGCUUCUGUGAAUUGGGUCUGGUUCCAAUGCCUAUAGGUUUUGGUGCUAGUGACCUUCAAAUCUGUCUAAUCUGGAAAUGUGCAGAGUGUGUCAUUUUCCCAAGUUCUGAGGGAAUCUCCCAGCCAGAUGUGAAGUGGGAGCCUACCAGCUGGUAUGAACAGGAUGGGUAAGAGGAACAGGGUGGCGACUCACUCAGUGCUGUCCCUUUUAUGUACUACUAAUACACCUGAUGGCUCUGAGAGUUCCUGUCUGGGUUUGUCCUUAAGACACUGUUCUGGAGGGGAAAGGAGAAGGUGGCCCAAAGUAUAGUUCGUACAUCCUUUUAUAUCACUUAGUUUAUUUUAGGCAGAAGAGAGCUUGGCAGAUUUUGAAAAUGAUUAAAUGUAAAAAGAUACAUUUUUUAGCUUUUUAUUUAUUUUAUUUAUUUAUUUACUUUUUGCCUAUCAGAAUUUUAGACUCAAAGUUGGCAGGAUAAGAAAAGAGCUCUUCUUUACCUAACAAAUACAAUCAAUAUAACCUAAUUCUUUGUGUCCUCAAUGAAUCCCAAACAAUAAAAAAAAAAAGAAAAAGAAAAGAAAAUAGCUCUUCGGGAGGGCUGACCCAUAAAGAACUGCAACAUGUUUGGGGGGGUUGUGGGGAAAAGAAAGAAGAACAACUGAGUUGAGGAGCGUUAUGAGGAAAGUAAAGGCUUAAGCAACUCAGAACUGAAAAUAUCCUCUUUUUUAAAAAACACUAAACCUGGUGAUGUUUUGGAUCUCCUUGUACAAAACUUAGCCAUAUGUUCACCAUCUUCCCUUUGCCUUUUCUUAUUUCUAUUCUAUACCCUUUCUUCUGUAUCUUCCUGUAACUCACUUGUCAGGUAGACUUUACCAGCAUCUCAAGUCAGACAGUACCUGACACACAGACAGGUGAGUUGGCUUACUGGUGCGGAGUACUUCCACACCAUGAGGAUUAGCUUGCUUUAAGCUUAGAGUUGAAUGGGAUUUAACCACCUUGGGUAAUUCCCCUGAAGGGCAUACAUAGCCUCAAUGGCAUUUUAGGCAUAUUUUUAAACAUACACUUAUAUAUGGUAGAGAAUCCUGGAGAAGUUUCUGAGAAUCCUGUAAACCCAAGCCCACUCAUUUUCCUUCAGUUAGUUCUAGUCUUUUGUAGAGUUAAUGGAUCUGAGAUAACCCUUUAAAAAGUGUCAAUACUCCAUGUAUGCUGCUAACAUGAAGUUAAGCUUAAAAAGAAGAGAUGCCUCCAGACUAGGUUUAUAUCAAUCUGGGAUAUAAGUGAAGGAGACAUCCUAAUAAUAGAAUUCCCUGCUUUUAACUGGGGAAAUAGGGCUUUUAAAUUUUUGACCUCAACUAAAAAUGAUAUGCAAUAGUCUAUGUUUGUAUGUGUUUGAAAUACAGUCUAUUCUCAGAGAUUUCUACAUCCUCAUGACCUAGUGAUUUGGGGCAUGAGCCUAACAGCAGAAACACAGUUCAUUUCUGUAUUAUUCUGAUUCAUCCUUAAAGCCACGUUCUUACUGUCUUCUAGCAGGGGUUGUUGGCCCCGGUUACCCAUGGAAUGAGGACCUGGGAGGGGUAGCAAUUGGGGUCAAAAUUCUGUGGAUCUAAGCUUUUGUCUGUCCUCAAGUGCCAGUCACAAUUGGAAAUUGAAAAUUGUGAUUUCUGUAACAAACCCAAACUUUUGGAGUAAAAACCAAAUCUUUAGAAGGAAGAAAAAAUAGAAAAACUUAAGUCUGUUACUUGAACACUCCAUUUCUAAGCAAUGGAAUCCCUCUAGGAUUCUAAUUUGGGCUUUGUUUUGAUUUGCUUUUCUAAUUGUGCUCUGAAGUGAAAAAAAUUAAUUUUUUCAUUAGUUCCAACAUUAAUUGGUGUUAACUUGAAUUAAUUGUAUGUAGCCCAGUAAUUUUGCAGUGAGAUCCGUGUGAAAUACUAAACACUCUGUAUUCUGUAGGCGUCAGGUUAAAUUAUACCUAUGAAAGUACUGUGUUAGGUAUUGGUUAUCUUAGUUCUUUUCUGUUUCUCUCCACAGAACACUUACUCUAUCCGGCUUGUGGUUUUAAGACAACCAAAGCUCACUGUUGUUUAGUCUGCACUGGGUCCCUUAUGUGAAACUUACUUGAAUUUUGGUAAAUUGGAAGAUGUUGGUUGGUGUUAACAUGAAACUUUUUGAAGGAGUGGAGCUCUGUAUCUGUCAGAAAGGGUAGAUAAGACUAAUUAGAAGGGAAGUGAAUAUGUGAGACUCUUAUUUUAAAUGGUGUUUUUUGUAAUGUUCAGUGCUAAAGUACAGAGCUGUUUUUCAGUAUUUCACAAGAAGUGGCAUCCAAGCAUGAAUUUUAAAGCUUUUCUCCAAAUGUAAUUUGUCACUGGACUCUGCCAUGCCUAAAAGUUACAUGAUGUAACACAUACAGAAAUGAUGUGAGUUUUUCCAUAAAACUGUUUAAUAAAAGUAUUACACAGCAAUAAUA